CCUGGCCUCAAGCCAUCCUCCCACCUCAGCCUCCCAAAGUGCUGGGAUUACAUGCAUGAGCCACCACAUCCAGCCUCCCUAAAAUAUUGAAUGCUGUUAAUAAAUCUCCUAAGAAGGUGAUGGGCAAAACUAAUGCAGUAGGAGCUGAAAUCGACCAGGGGGUUCUUAUCCAACAGACAGCAGCAAAACUCUUUGUGUAUCUGCGUUCCUUUCAACAAGUGUGACUUCCUCAAUGGCAUCAUUUGUGAGCGUAACACAGAGCUCAGCAAUAACGUUUCUUCACUAACCCUACCAGGGUUUCAGUUGUGCAAUUUCACCAUUAGCAAAGCUUUUUGCUGAAAUCUGGAUUUUCAAAGGGAGAGUAUCCAGAAACAGAAGAUGCUGAUCUGGGAGGCUCUUCCUAAUAGAACUGCUGCUUCAGUUUAGCUUGAAAAAGCCCACACUCAGUUCCUAAUGACAAACAUCUGAACACCAGGUCUUCCCACGAGCAAGACCAUGCUAUUCCUCCUGCUCGCUCUGUUCUAUAAGCAACCCACAGAUUGCUCCCUGUGAAGAGGAGCCUGCCAGGGAGCAGCAUUCCACCAGAUCCUGAUUUAGCAAGAUAUUUCCGUAUCAUUCCCCCAACCAGCUGGAAGUCCUCCACUGUUCUUGUGUAAAAAUCUAACUCAUCUCGCUGAAUUUCCUGAUUUAAAAGUCUAAUUCAUUUCACCAAAAGUGUGACAGAAGGAAACCAAGUACACCAUCUCUCUCUUACCAAACCAAAGCUAUUGCAUGUGCAUUCUGGGAGAAAAAAAUGGUCCAAAUAUGUUAUGGAGGGGGUGCCAGCCCAGUGUCAUCCUCUUACUAUUGCCAUAGGAUCUUGGCUGAUGGCAUCAGAAGAAAAACAAGUUUAUCGAUUACUUUCAACCAUUAAGCUCACUCCUCCAUGAAAAAUAAGUCACAAGUCCAAUGUCUCUUAUUAAAAUAAGCACUGCAAAAUAUAAAGGACUCACAGUUUUAAAAUGGGACACACGUUCUCUAAGCGGUGAACCACUUUAGAGGUGUACUGUUUACAUUGUAUAAAGUCCCCUGGAGCCAGGGUUAGGAAGCGCAUCUGUUCUUUGGUGUUCUGGGAUGAAGGAGAAAGGAAAAUGUGCUGCCAGAAGUGAGUGGGAAGGAGCCCAUGAGAUAAAGGAAGUAAAUCCAUUUGCUGAUUGCAAUAAUAAUGGUAAUACACGAAGCUAUACAUACAUACAUACAUACAUACAUACAUACAUGCAAACUUUCACAUUUUUUAAAAAAAGAACUUAAGGCUUCCACACAUGUAAUCAGCCCUUAUGAACUCUCCUGAUUAGCUGCAAGGAAAAUCUUCCUUUCUCCUUUUUCCUGCACCAUCCUGGGCUCCCUUUUGACUUUUUUUUUUUUUUUUUUUUUUUAACUUAUAAACGAUCAGCUCAUAUUCCGAAGUUUGUAGUCCCCUCCCGUCCCCUCUCUCUCUAUACCGCUCAUUUACAUUGGCAGCUGUCGUGCUGCUGGGCAUCCUCAAACCCACCAGUUUCCCUUUUAUGUUUGAGCAGACAAACAUGAUCAUGCACUAGGCAUCACUGUGCCACUCAAAAUGCUUUGUUUUUUUAUUGCAUCUGAGAGAAAUCUCAAGGUUGCAAACCUGGAGUCAGAAUUGUCUCCAUGUGUCUCAGUGGGAAGAGUAUCGUGUGAAGAAAUAAGUUGAUUCUACUAAUCAAAAGGAAUUUUUUUUGAUAUCAGGUCAUCCUCCGAAUGAAUUUAUAUUACCGAGUGGAGGGUCACAUGAAGAAAAUGGUCAAACAGCACCACCUACAGCAAGAGCUGAGAAGUGCAGCGGAGCCGGGCUGAGUCAGGAAAGAAAAGCAAGCUGGGGCCUGGCUCAGAGCUCUCCCCUCUGCUCCUGUCUGCACGGAAAGAUUAGGAUGACAGUGGCAGGAAGCCUGUGCACCUAGUAUGCAUCACUUGAAGGGAACACACAGAUUCCAGUAAACAGUUGGAAGGAAAUGUUAAUACCAGGCUCUGCUAAACAAUAUGAAAUGACUCCUAGAUGAGACAAGUGACUUUCAUCAAAGUUUCCUGAUACCUGAAAAGAUAGCCCAGGUGAUCCUGCACUACAUCUGCUGUAUGUAAAUUAAGCGGGUUUUUUUCCCCUUUGUAAUCAAGGCUCAUACACAAACAAAAUCACACUUUAGAAACGGCUUAUUUCAACUUGUAACUAGCUUGCUUUCAGGGGCUCCAGGUCAAAAAGAAAUAGAGCACAAAGACGCUUUCUCCUUAGGGAUCAUACACAAAUUCACUCUGUCCGUUUCUUUCCCACAUGGAGCAACAAAGCCAUCAGACCUCUCCAUCCACCCAUCGGGUCCUUCCUGAUUAAAGUGAGAUAAAUCACAGCCCUCUCUCUCCAGAUGGCAGGCGACAAGAGGGGGAUGCUUGCCUCAAGAAGUCCUCCCCAUCCCUCUGCAUUCAUGCAAGCCCGAGCGGAGAGAUGCAAGAAAUUAUGGAUGCAUUUUAAUUGCCCAGACCCUGCAAUUAAAAAUGGAAAUUUUUUGGCCACGCGUGUUGGCUCACGCCUGUAAUCCCAGCACUUUCGGAGGCCGAGGUCGGCGGAUCAUUUGGGGUCAGGAGUUCGAGACCAGCCUGGCCAACAUGGUGAAACCCUGUCUCUACUGAAAAUACAAAAAUUAGCUAGGAAUGGUGGUGGGAGCCUGUCGUCCCAGCUACUCGGGAGGAUGAGGCAGGAGAAUCACUUGAACCCGGGAGGCAAAGUUUGCAGUGAGCCAAGAUCGCACCACUGCACUCCACUCUGGGUGACAAAGCAAGACUUCAUCUCAAAAAAUGUUUUUUAAAAAUGGAAGUGUUGUUCUUUCAUUUGUAAAUGUGUUUUGGUAAAAGAGGGGCAGUUUAAGCAACCCUUUUUUGUUGUCUACAUUGUUAAAAUUCAUCAGACAUGGACUCUUGACUCCGUUUUGCCUGGGCAGACCCAAUUCAAGCAUUUACAACAGCUAUAACUUCCUCAAAUCAAAAAGAGGAAUCAGCAUUAUUGCUAAGUUCAAAUAAGGUCUUGUUUUAUUUCAUUUUUAUUUUUGAAUGCAGCCAUUCCUCCAGGUGCUAUCAUCAGGUAAGAUUGUCAGUCCUGAUUAGGUAAAGGUAUUAUUACAAAAUGCAAUUCUUAAAAAUUCAGUGUCUAACUACACUUUUAAUAAGCCUUUCCCCCUCCCCUAUGUAUUCUCCCUUAGACACCCCUUCUCAAAUUUAAAAUCACAGAAACUAAAAUAUGAUGCCUAAAGAGAGCCUAGCAACUGCCCAGUCCUCUAAUUUGAUGAGUGGGAGUACUGAAGCCCAGAGGAGGUCAAGUAAUUUGUUCCCAAUGUCUUAGAUAAGAAGAAAAUGACCAGCUGGGAAAUCCCACUCAUGUCAAGGCAGAGGCACAGGGCCACAGACUGUGGUUGAAUUGUGCCACACUCCUACAUCCUUCUUUAGGAAUCACAGAACAUUCCUGUGUUGAGUUGGAGUCACUGACUUCCUUUUCAGGCUGAUUGAGUUCUGUCCUUACAGGCUGCGACAAGAAGUUUUGGUAUUAUGCUACACCAAGACCAUUUAUCUAGUUCAAGAAAUGAGCACAGUCCUUAGAGCCCAGCAACUUUCCCCAUGUCCAGUAAAUGUAGCUUCUCCAUUAGAAGCUGUCAGAAUGGAGCCUUCUGGCUCAUCUUGAUUUUGAUUUGUGCAAGAAUGAAUGGUUGUGCUAAGACAGCUUUCCUAGCUGAUAGUGAGCAAAACUUUUUUCUCAUAAUCUAUAAAAAAAUAUUAAAUUAGAAGCACAGAGUUUAUUUCAUGACUUUUAUCUUCCUGCAAUUUUCUUAUGGGCAUAAAUGAUUUGUUUUUAUCCUGCCUGCCCCCCCAAUCCCUUUUCCAAGAGACUAAAAGAGUAUCUAGUGCAAAGUAGAUACUCAAAUAUUUUUUAAUAAACAGUGAUCCCAGCCACCCAGUGCAUGUUGCCAAAUGCCAACCCCAUAAAUGAUCAAACACAUCAUCUCAUUCAGCCAAUCAAAAUCAAGUGCUACCUAUUUUUUUAAGUUUUCAUAGCCCUUGGGCAUCUGCUUUCUCAGCAUUUCCCAAACUUGAGUCAUUCUCAUCCUGCCUUCAUAAUUUUGCUCUGUCAAUUACCUCUACUAUUAUUUAUUUCAUAUAUUUUUAAAUAGCCCCACUUUUGAAACUUAAAUACAUGCCUUUUAAAAGGAAGCUUUCUUACUACUAUACAUCAAAAGCCAUUAUUACUUGUUCUAAGUACUCAUAACAACAUAUUCACAACUAUUAAAAUUUAGUAAUGUGCAUCCACAUACUCUCUAAAUUCAUGGAGCAUCUGCACACACUUUAAGAAACAAUUCUGCAUUACUCACUCAAUUUUCUUGACAUCCUUCUGAGGCAGGACAAACCUUGGGCCCAAAGAAUUGAGGUAGGAGUCCAAGCAAGUUGCCAGCCACAUAAAGGCAAACCUUGGCUCGGAAGUCAGGACCUAGGUUAUGGUUCAUGCUCUUUCCUCUGCUCUCCAGAACCUCCUAUCUCCAAGUGUAGUUAGCAGCCCAGAUGCAGCAGCAUCCCCUAGAGACUUGUUAAAAAUGCAGAAGCUCAGGCUCCACCCCAGGCCUAUGCAGACUGAAUCUGCAUUUUAACAAGGUCCAGGUAAUUCACGUGCACAUUAAGUUUGAAAAGGCCUGGUCUAGAUCAGCAGUUCUCUAACUUAGCAGCACAUUAGAACCAUCUGUAGAGACUUUAAAAAUACCAGUGCCUGGGCUUCAUCUCCCGGAGAAUCUGAUUUAAGUGUCUGGGGUUUGCCCUGAGUCUAGGUAUUUUUUAGAACUCCUCAGCUUAUACAAAGCUGGCAGGGCCGGGCA